rnacentral:snRNA from 1 species
GGAUGUGAGGGUAUUCUGGCUGUGACUUCUGUCACCCCAUUGAUCACCAGGGUUGAUUCAGCUGAUCUGGCUGACUAGGCUGGUGUCUGCCUUUCUCUCCCACUGCUCCAUGUGCCUCCCUCCUGAAGCUGUACACUGCCCCAUAGAGGACUGUUUGCUCCAUCAAGGGUAUACGAGUAGCUGCGCUCCCCUGCUAGAAUCUCUAAACAAACUCUCAAAGAUUCUGAGAUUAAAUUAUUUCAUAUACAGAUUAUGCUUGUUAUGAUGGAGUAUAGCCCAAUAAACCCAAU